rnacentral:rRNA from 1 species
AGCGAACGCUGGCGGCAGGCCUAACACAUGCAAGUCGAACGAACUCUUCGGAGUUAGUGGCGGACGGGUGAGUAACACGUGGGAACGUGCCUUUAGGUUCGGAAUAACUCAGGGAAACUUGAGCUAAUACCGAAUGUGCCCUUCGGGGGAAAGAUUUAUCGCCUUUAGAGCGGCCCGCGUCUGAUUAGCUUGUUGGUGAGGUAAUGGCUCACCAAGGCGACGAUCAGUAGCUGGUCUGAGAGGAUGACCAGCCACAUUGGGACUGAGACACGGCCCAAACUCCUACGGGAGGCAGCAGUGGGGAAUCUUGCGCAAUGGGCGAAAGCCUGACGCAGCCAUGCCGCGUGGAUGAUGAAGGUCUUAGGAUUGUAAAAUCCUUUCACCGGUGAAGAUAAUGACUGUAGCCGGAGAAGAAGCCCCGGCUAACUUCGUGCCAGCAGCCGCCGUAACAC